AGUGAACGCUGGCGGUAGGCCUAACACAUGCAAGUCGAACGGCAGCACAGUAAGAGCUUGCUCUUACGGGUGGCGAGUGGCGGACGGGUGAGGAAUACAUCGGACUCUACUUUUUCGUGGGGGUUAACGUAGGGAAACUUACGAUAAUACCGCAUACGACCUACGGGUGAAAGCAGGGGAUCUUCGGACCUUGCGCGAUUGAAUGAGCCGAUGUGGGAUUAGCUAGUUGGCGGGGUACAGGCCAACCAGGGCGACGAUCCGUAGCUGGUCUGAGAGGAUGUACACCGACAGUGAAGGUGAGCGGCGACCCUGAUCCUUAGGGAAGGCACAGGUGGGUAUAGUGGGCAAUAGGGGCAAGCCUGGUCCAGCCAUACCGCGUGUGUGAAGAAGGCCUUCGGGUUGUAAAGCCCUUUUGUUGGGAAAGAAAAGCAGCAGGUUAAUACCCCGCUGUUCUGACGGUACCCAAAGAAUAAGCACCGGCUAACUUCGUG
rnacentral:rRNA from 1 species